rnacentral:lncRNA from 10 species
CGGCCGCCCACGAAGCUGUCGGUGCGCAGCAGCGCCGCAGAGAGGCCCGCCAGGCGCCCAGCGUAGCAGCGGAGCUGGGCCGGGCCGGGCGCAGGCCCGGAGGCAGGGACCAGGCCGCCGGCGCGGGGGCGGAGGCGGCAGCCUGGAAACGUCGACCCGAGGCGCCGGGCCCCACAGCUCCGCAGCCAAAUGCAGGUCGCCAUGGCCCGGGCAACGACGGCGACAGGAAACAGGUUGUGGCCUGGCCUGCUGAUCAUGUUGGGUUCUCUCUGCCAUAGAGGUUCACCGUGUGGCCUUUCAACACACGUAGAAAUAGCUGUUACUAGAACACCAGGAUGCGUAUCAGGCUGGAAUCGUGUUUCCUGAUUGUUUUUACCCUAGCAUCUGCAAAGGAGGAAAAUUCCAUGAUGUGUCUGAGAGCACUCACUGGACUCCGUUUCUUAAUGCAAGCGUUCAUUAUAUCCGAGAGAACUAUCCCCUUCCCUGGGAGAAGGACACAGAGAAACUGGUAGCUUUCUUGUUUGGAAUUACUUCUCACAUGGCGGCAGAUGUCAGCUGGCAUAGUCUGGGCCUUGAACAAGGAUUCCUUAGGACCAUGGGAGCU